rnacentral:rRNA from 1 species
UUUGUACACACCGCCCGUCGCUACUACCGAUUGAACGGCUCAGCAAGGCCUUCGGACUGGCUCAGAGAGGUUGGCAACGACCAUUCCGAGCCGGAAAGUUGGUCAAACUUGGUCGUUUAGAGG